AAGACCUUACUUCAUAGGAUCAUUUCUAUAGUAAGUUCUCCAACCAGAUCUCCCAAUAUGUGAGGUCACACCAACCCUUUUUCACAUUAAAAAGUAGCGUAUGUCCUUUGUCAAGGU